UACGUAGGGCGCAAGCGUUAUCCGGAAUUAUUGGGCGUAAAGAGCUCGUAGGCGGUUUGUCGCGUCUGCCGUGAAAGUCCGGGCUCAACUCCGGAUCUGCAGGCGAUACGGGCAGGCUAGAGUUCGGUAGGGGAGACUGGAAUUCCCGGUGUAGUGGUGAAAUGCGUAGAGAUCGGGAGGAACACCGGUGGCGAAGGCGGCGACCUGGGUAGAUACGUGACGCUGAGGUGCGAAAGCGUGGGGAGCAAACAGG
rnacentral:rRNA from 1 species